GUGGUCCUGGUUGUCGUGGGUGCAGGAACCAGGAGCCCACGCAGCGGUCAGCUGGUCCCGACACGGACUACGGCCCUGCGGAAGAGAAUGGUUUCUCUGCAGGCUGAUGGCAGGGCCGAUGGCAUAUGCCAUUCAUUUCUUCCUGCAGCCACCCCUCCGCCUACCUCUCUUCUCUGCCUGACCGCCGUAGAGCUGUGAGCCGAUCCAGCUCCUGCCGCCUGGGAGGGACACAGGAAAAGAUGCACGGAGGACGACACGAGUGAGUCAGAGACGACGUGGGCCGAGAGGAUGUUAGGAUGGAGGAAAGUUAGAGUUGCCACGUGCUGUUCAUUAGUUUUGGGCGCACAGACACCCCCACGCCUGCUGGUGUGAUCGCCAGGGACGUCUAGCCCGCGUGGGAGCCCCGUCUCGGCUGCUGGUGCCAGUGAGGGCUCUUUGAGCAGUGACGUCUGAGGACAGAGCCCAGCGGAUUUGAGCGGAAGAAGUGUCUGGGGGAGAAGCAUCUGGAGAAAAGGGGGCGCACGUGCCAAGUCCUCGAGACCCUUCAGGAGACCCCCGCCUCGGGCCGAGCCCCCGUAUAAUUCUGCACCCCAGCUCAUGCCAAACCUGGGCCACCCUGUGGACACAUAGACCCACCGAUUUCUCAAAUUAGUUUUUAAUUCUGGUGCAAUCUCCGUCACACAGCAUUUACCGUCUUAACUGAGUUUAAGCGUUCCGUUCAGUGGCGUUAAGUACCUUCUCGCGCUGGCAGCUGUCACCACCGUCCCCUC